rnacentral:lncRNA from 1 species
GGGCUUUUGGAGAAAAAAAUUUCGGAAAAACAAAACUAGGGUUCAUGGUUUUUGGGGUUUUCUUCUCAGAUUUUCUAUUUCACAUAUAAUUGAUAUUCCAAAAAAAUAGACAACAAAAAAAAUAGUUUGAGUUUAGUUUUGUUUGAAACUCUGCUUCAUUUCGAAAAAAAUUCAAAAAAUUCAAAAAAAAAAAAUACAUUCAGUUCUUUCUUCUGGUUUUGAUUUCAAUAUGGAGAUCGAUUGAUUCGAGGUUUGGAGCCGGUUCGAUUUCCUGCUUGUCGUCCGAGGUCUGGUUGGUCUUAAUCGCGGUUCGUUCGAUUCUGUUGCUGUUUCUCAUAGGAUUCCAGAAUCAAGGAAUGUAUAUUUGUUGAUUCUCUACUGUUACAUUGAAAGCAAUUUUCAUCACAGGUUCAUCUCUUUCCUUCUUAUUCUUGUUAACUAUGGUUUGCAUUCUGCUCAUGUUUCGUGUGUUUCAAUGGUUGCUUAGUAUCCAUGCUAGAUUUUAAAUGGCUUUUAUAUUAAGAUUCAGAUGAGGAGCUCUGUUGAUGUAUUGUGAUUGAACUAGUUUCUUGGGUAUCAAAGUGGCUGAAUAUUUACAUGUUAGAUUCAGAAUAUUAUGUUCGUUUGGUGAAGUUUAAGUUGAUUGACUUCCCUGUUCUAGAUCGCAAAAUGUUUCGCGCUUCACUCUUUCUGUUGAUUAAAUGAUCAUUUACGUGAAUAAGUUUAAAACAACUGAUUCUCUGCUUUUUUGAUCUUAUAAUGCUCGCGUGCUGGUUUGGUUGCUAGAAAAUAAGAGUAUAGUUUGUCCUUUUCAACUCCAUUGAAGGUCUCUGUUCUCACUCUUGAUUGUGGUACUGAACUUCUGAUUUCUUCGUGAUCUGAUAAUGCAUUUUCGUAUUUGGACGUCACUGACCGCUCAUGAGUUUCUUGAAGUGUCAUUUUGUAGUUCAGUCAUAAUCUCACAUUACUCUUCCUGAAUUCGAGAUUAUCAUGUUUUUCCUCAUUGAAACACAUGAAACAAAUUUUUAUUAUCAUGUUAUGAGUCUGGUUUCGGAGAAUUGUGAGAGUUUGGUGCAUAAUGGUAUAUCUUAAGGGAUUUAUCUAGUUUUAUUAAGGUUUUGAGUAGGUUAGGUUCAUUACUUUUGUUUGGAAAUUGGUAGUUUGCUGCCUUAAAUCAAAAAAUCUAAACUAAGAGUGUUAUAAAACUAUUCCCCUCAUUUGUUUAAUGCAAAUCUGUGUUAAAUCCCUGUCAAAAUCAGCAUAAGUUGACUCUUUGAGGUCCCUUCUCAUCCUUUUAUCCUCUAUUUGCCAUGUAUCUUGUGUAUGAUGAUGAAUUUUCCAUGAUACUUGUCGAUAGAAGCAGUUUUGUGUCGUUGCAAUUUGGGGCUAGGAAUCUAGACUCUCUUAGUUGCAAUUACCUUUUUUUUUUUUUUUUGCAGAAAAUGGUGUUGAUUUUAGUGUUUGUUGGUUGAUGAUGUAUCUUCGUUUGAACUAAGCUUGAGAUUUACUUUAAGGGGAAUACUUAAUUUCUUUUAUAGUCACAUACUUAAAUCAUUAGUAAUAAUAUUUAGUGCUAGUCUUCUGCAUCUUUCCUUUUAAAACUAGAACUUAAGCUUUCAAUAUAUCGGUGGUGGAUUUUCUAACUUUGACCUGAGUACGAAUUGUUAAUGUUUAUUUCUAAGAACCGGUGGCCUGGCACACCGAUAUCAAAUGUCAUGUGGCGACUCUGAGUUUAUUUCCUUUUGAAACACAAUUUUUGUCACUUUCAAUAGAAAACCCUUUUUGUUAUAAAUACACUUCUAUUUAAGGUGAAUGUCUUUAAUUAGAGAGAUUCUAGA